AACGCGAAGAACCUUACCAGGGUUUGACAUCUCGGGAAGGUCUCUGAAAGGAGACUGUGCCCUUGGGAACCCGAUGACAGGUGCUGCAUGGCCGUCGUCAGCUCGUGUCGUGAGAUGUUUGGUUAAGUCCAUCAACGAGCGCAACCCUUGUAGUCAGUUGGAUUUCUCUGGCUAGACUGCCCCGGUAACGGGGAGGAAGGAGGGGAUGAUGUCAGGUCAUUAUUGCCCUUACACCCUGGGCUACAAGCACGCUACAAUGGCCGGUACAAAGGGCAGCCAACCCGCGAGGGGGAGCUAAUCCCAUCAAAGCCGGUCCCAGUUCGGAUUGCAGGCUGAAACUCGCCUGCAUGAAGUCGGAAUCGCUAGUAACGGUAGGUCAGCAGACUACCGUGAAUACGUUCCCGGGUCUUGUACACACCG
rnacentral:rRNA from 1 species